UCCUUCACUGGGUGCUUUGCCUUA
rnacentral:piRNA from 1 species